rnacentral:rRNA from 1 species
UACAGAGGUCUCAAGCGUUGUUCGGAUUCAUUGGGCGUAAAGGGUGCGUAGGCGGCGCGGUAAGUCGGGUGUGAAAUCUCGGAGCUUAACUCCGAAACUGCAUUCGAUACUGCCGUGCUUGAGGACUGGAGAGGAGACUGGAAUUUACGGUGUAGCGGUGAAAUGCGUAGAUAUCGUAAGGAAGACCAGUGGCGAAGGCGGGUCUCUGGACAGUUCCUGACGCUGGGCGACAAAGGUCAGGGGAGCAAACGGG